rnacentral:rRNA from 1 species
AGGAACCUGCCUUGGAGAGGGGAAUAACACAGUGAAAAUUGUGCUAAUACCGCAUGAUGCAGUUGGGUCGCAUGGCUCUGACUGCCAAAGAUUUAUCGCUCUGAGAUGGCCUCGCGUCUGAUUAGCUAGUUGGUGGGGCAACGGCCCACCAAGGCGACGAUCAGUAGCCGGACUGAGAGGUUGACCGGCCACAUUGGGACUGAGACACGGCCCAGACUCCUACGGAAGGCAGCAG